rnacentral:rRNA from 1 species
CCUACGGGCGGCUGCAGUGAGGAAUAUUGGUCAAUGGACGAGAGUCUGAACCAGCCAAGUAGCGUGAAGGAUGACUGCCCUCUGGGUUGUAAACUUUUUUUAUAUGGGAAUACAAUGUUCCUCGUUUGUGAUUUUGUAUGUACCAUAUGAAUAAGGAUCGGCUAACUCCGUGCUAGCAGCCGCGGUAAUACGGAGGAUCCGAGCGUUAUCCGGAUUUAUUGGGUUUAAAGGGAGCGUAGGUGGGUUGUUAAGUCAGUUGUGAAAGUUUGCGGCUCAACCGUAAGAUUGCAGUGGAUACUGGCAAUCUUGAGUACAGUAGAGGUGAGCGGAAUUCGUGGUGUAGCGGUGAAAUGCUUAGAUAUCAUGAAGAACUCCAAUGGCGAAGGCAGUUCACUGGACUGCAACUGACGCUGAGGCUCGAAAGUGUGGGUAUCAAACAGGAUUAGAUACCCCUGUAGUC